rnacentral:rRNA from 1 species
CGACGCUGAUGCGUUGUUGGGUAGGGGAGCGUUCUGUAAGCCUGCGAAGGUGUGCUGUGAGGCAUGCUGGAGGUAUCAGAAGUGCGAAUGCUGACAUAAGUAACGAUAAAGCGGGUGAAAAGCCCGCUCGCCGGAAGACCAAGGGUUCCUGUCCAACGUUAAUCGGGGCAGGGUGAGUCGACCCCUAAGGCGAGGCCGAAAGGCGUAGUCGAUGGGAAACAGGUUAAUAUUCCUGUACUUGGUGUUACUGCGAAGGGGGGACGGAGAAGGCUAUGUUGGCCGGGCGACGGUUGUCCCGGUUUAAGCGUGUAGGCUGGUUUUCCAGGCAAAUCCGGAAAAUCAAGGCUGAGGCGUGAUGACGAGGCACUACGGUGCUGAAGCAACAAAUGCCCUGCUUCCAGGAAAAGCCUCUAAGCAUCAGGUAACAUCAAAUCGUACCCCAAACCGACACAGGUGGUCAGGUAGAGAAUACCAAGGCGCUUGAGAGAACUCGGGUGAAGGAACUAGGCAAAAUGGUGCCGUAACUUCGGGAGAAGGCACGCUGAUAUGUAGGU